GAAUUCAACUCCUACGGGAGGCAGCAGUGGGGAAUAUUGGACAAUGGGCGGAAGCCUGAUCCAGCCAUGCCGCGUGUGUGAAGAAGGCCUUUUGGUUGUAAAGCACUUUAAGCGAGGAGGAGGCUCCUUUAGUUAAUACCUAAAGAGAGUGGACGUUACUCGCAGAAUAAGCACCGGCUAACUCUGUGCCAGCAGCCGCGGUAAUACAGAGGGUGCGAGCGUUAAUCGGAUUUACUGGGCGUAAAGCGUGCGUAGGCGGCUUUUUAAGUCGGAUGUGAAAUCCCUGAGCUUAACUUAGGAAUUGCAUUCGAUACUGGAAAGCUAGAGUAUGGGAGAGGAUGGUAGAAUUCCAGGUGUAGCGGUGAAAUGCGUAGAGAUCUGGAGGAAUACCGAUGGCGAAGGCAGCCAUCUGGCCUAAUACUGACGCUGAGGUACGAAAGCAUGGGGAGCAAACAGGAUUAGAUACCCGAGUAGUCCAGGCGUU
rnacentral:rRNA from 1 species